UACGGAGGGUGCAAGCGUUAUCCGGAUUCACUGGGUUUAAAGGGCUCGUAGGCGGUUUGUCACGUCGGGAGUGAAAACUCGGGGCUUAACCCCGAGCCUGCUUCCGAUACGGGCUGACUAGAGGUAUGCAGGGGAGAACGGAAUUCCUGGUGUAGCGGUGAAAUGCGUAGAUAUCAAGAGGAACACCUGCGGCGAAGGCGGGUUGCUGGGCCGACACUGACGCUGAGGCGCGAAAGCCAGGGGAGCGAACGGG
rnacentral:rRNA from 1 species